GGGGAUGUGGUUCAGCGAUGGAACACUUGCCUGGCAUGCAUAGGGUCCUGGGUUCAAUCCCCAUCACCACCC
rnacentral:tRNA from 1 species